ensembl:lncRNA
GGAUUUCACAGCUUGGCCUUUCGUUUCCCACCGACAGUGGUUAGGUGCCUACUUCACGGUCAUCAGGCCGCUCUACCUGUCGUGGCAAGGGGAAGCAGCGGACGACAAGGGCUGCUUCUUCCUGGGGACCACAGGACGUCCCGUGGCCAAUCCCAGGUCCGAUUUGCGCCGUCUCUGGAGGCGCUGUCGGAAGAUCUGCGAGGCAGCGGGCCCGACUCCGCCGCCCCUUACGGCAGAGGCCGCUGGGACGUCUUCCCGGGACACGAGUUCUGUGUCGGGGAAGGGGUCGCGUGACGACCAAUGGGACGCUUUCGUCAGUGAAUUCCCCGUGACGAUAGGUGCCCUCGCGCCCUCCAAAGAGGACCAUGACGGUGCCGGGUUUGGCGAUGAACGGACGCACUACUUCAAAUGGAGGCGCUUCCAGUUGGAAAAGCGUGUGCUACACGUCGCCGGUAGGCACCGGCUUUGUCUUUGUCAAACAGAUACUGUGUGCCGUCUGUGAAGAGCUGCCUAGUGUCUCGCUAUGACUGCAUCUCCUUUCCCCAUAGCCAGUGCGUCUCACCGACUCGCAUACACAACGCCUCACUCGCUCACUCCCAGUCUCACUAACUCACUGCCUGCCUCACUCACUAACUCACUGCCUCACUAACUCGCUCCCUCUGUUCUUACCAGAUUCCGCUGGCAGGCAGCGACCGACGGAGGCCAAGGUGGCAGCCGUUGUAGCCAAGGAGAGAUGGAAAACCAAUGUCCCCUCCCUCCCGGAUGUGCUCGAGGCGUGGGUCUCCCCUUUAAAGGCAGCCAUUGAGGACGACGAAGGCGUCCUCAAGUCAGUGGUGGAGCAACGGUGGAAGGGGAUCGAUUUCAAGGACUUUGGAGAACACAAGGGCAGAGGCGUCAUUGCCACCGUGCCGUUCUCCAAGGGGGACGUGAUAUGCGACUAUCACGGAAAGCUCAUCUCUGAAUCCGAGGGGAAGAGGCUGAUGGAUGCAAUGCAGGAGGGAGUGAUGUGCUACCUCUUUUUCGUCAGGGGCAGGCUAGGCACCAAGCUGUGCGUCGACUCCCAGAACUUCCCCUGCGAGUGCCACCCUGGAAAGGACGCCUUUGGUAGGCGCAUGAACCACUCGGGCAAGGCGUCCAAUGUGAAGCCUGUGGUGUUCCAGUUGAACUUUCCAGACGGAGCCAAAGACGCUGUCCUCUUCUUGGCCCAGAGAAACAUAGCUGUCAACGAAGAGCUCCGUUGGGACUAUGGUGUGAGACGGGAGGUCUUUCGGAGAUGAGGGCAUGGACCUGGCAUGGCUCGGAUGACUGAAACGAUUCUCUUUGGUUCAUUGUGUUCUCAUUUGUUGUUGCCGGUUAUUGCUGUUCUUCUUGUUGUUGUUGUUUGGUGUCAUGUUUUUAAUAAAUGUUUUUGCUACAAAGGACAACGCCUUGAAUAGACUGACUUUAUUAAUCCCCGAAGGAUGUGAAAUAAUUCAAGUCUUCAUGUUAACAUUACAUUGACAUAGAGUGGGUGCCAGAAAAAGUGAAAAACACGACAGCUCUCGUUUAAGGGCUUAAACUUUGAGCUACUGCAGGAAAAGGGCAUGCAUAAAACGUGCACUGCAUGUGAAACAUUCCGUAAUGAUAUAUGGGACGAUUGCAAUCACCAGACAUGAGGAUGAACAAAUGUAUUGCCACAUAAGCAGCUACAAGAAAAAACAAACAAACAAAUUAAUAAAUGAAGGAGUGAAUGAAUAAACAAGUAAAUGUUUAAGAUGGAGACAAAAGGGGGCCACUCUGCCCUUUUGUGGAAUAGUUUGGACAUGCCUACAGAAUAAAAAACAAACGGCAUGUCCACGAUGAAACACAGAAGCACUUUACUUCUGCUAACAAUAGUCUUUGGGUUCCAUUGAUUGCAUUUCCAUUUGAUUUGAGGUCAAAAUGGCUGCUCUUUUCAAAAUGGCUGCUCUUUGAUGGUUUGAGUGUCAGACUAAUGGUUGUUACUUCAUGAGGUGGGUACAGUGGUUUGUCUCGUCUACUUGAUGGAGGUAAGUGACCACGGAUCAAAACAGUUUAUGCCUUAAAGUCUAGGGCCCACUGCUAAAGAACAAGGACAUACUCCUUGAACACCUAGAGCUUUGACACUGUGUGUGUGUGUGUGUGUGUGUGUGUGUGUGUGUGUGUGUGUGUGUGUGUGUGUGUGUGUGUGUGUCCAACUGGAAAAACAAAGUGAAGGAACAGGAAUCAUUAUUGUGUGUGAAUAUAAUAGAUUUGAUAUGUUGUAUUGAGAUGCAUUUUACCUACUUUUCUUUCACAUUCAUAGACUACAUCCUGACUUGCAUAAAUAAAUAAUAUAAUAAACGAAAUAAUAAUAAACGGAUGACGGUUAGGGGCCGCUUCUGCCAUCUGGUGGCUGCUGAGGGGACCUCAACGGACGACACUUAGGAUUUGGCUGUGCAAAGCUGCUACAGACAGCAGCAUAUGUGAUGCCCGACUGGAUAUCUCGGCGGGUGAAGGUCGCACGGACUCGGGCUUGGCACCGUUGGAAAGCUGCUUCCCCCUUUGGGGGGGGUGCGUCUGCCUCCCGUUUCUCUAGCACCUUGCUGUCAAAAGAUAUCCACCGAAAACGGUCUGCACCCCGGUGCACUUCGGUUAAAACCCCCUAACCCUAACCCUAACCCUAACAGGCUCAUUACCUAUACGGCCCUGAUCUCCCUCGAGCGAGGUUAUUUUACCUUCUCCCUAAAAUACAUAAACCCCCAGAAACUUGGACCGUUCCCUUCGUGAUUCCUCCAGGACGCCCUAUAGUCAGCGACUGUGGCUCCGAAUCAUAUCACCUGGCGGAGUUCAUAGACUACUAUAUUAACCCCCUAUCCCACACCCACCCGAGCUACCUGAAGGACACCUACACAUUUGUAAACAAAUUAAAGAAUCUUACCGUCCCUGAUAACACGUUUAUCUUUUCCAUCGACGUCGACUCCCUGUAUACGAACAUCGACACUGUUCUGGGCCUCGAGGCUGUUAAGAAAGCAUUGGCUUUAUCACCUGAUCCAUCUCGUCCCGACACAUUUAUUUUAAAGUUUUUAGAAAUUACCCUUACCCGCAAUGACUUUUUGUUUGAUAAAGCCUUCUUCC